AUAGGCUACGUGACAGUCACCUUCAUCCUUGUGAUGGGUCCACUGUAGAUAGACUGGACGUGGUGGGAAGACAACGCGACGUCACUCAGGAGAGAGACCCACCCUGGCGCCACGUGAUCCCUGCUGAUUUUCAGUGCUCCCCUAUGCCAUCCCAGGUGUGGCAAGAGAAUCCAAGCGCGCCUUCCCAGGCCAUUCACAUUUCGUUGGAUGUUUCCUGCUACGGAGCAAGCAAUAAUCCAAUGCCCCCAUGGUGGGAUGCCGCUCCUUGGCUACACAUCAGCGUCAUACAACCCUCACUUAAAUUGACUGCGGCACUGAAGCUGCAUUCCUGUCGGCAGAGUUAAUGACCCGGGGCAGGAGGGAGGAAGAUGCUUUUAGAGCCAGAUUUGCUGAAUUGUGAUCUUCUGCAAACUGAGAACAAGCUCUGCCUGGGUUUGCUCUUGCUCUUGGUCUAUCCACUGAUGUCAGCACGGUCACAAGAGAGGAAGUCAAGCCCAGUGAGCAUAAGUACCCUCAAGGCCGUGCAACUCCAGGGCAGUGCUGUAAGUUUGGGAUCUAAAAGCAGGCAGAGAAGCCCACUUAUGCUCUUUUGUCAUUCCCUCCACCCCCUCCCACAAAACACCCUGCCAACUGUUGUAGCCAGAGAGCAGAGAUCCCCGAUAGCUCACAUAGUGUCUGCCUCAGGGAUAGAACAACUUCAGGAAGUCAGCAUUUGGGCAGUUCACCACUGAUGUGACAGAGAGAGAGAAUAAUGCAUGCUCUUCCCGUGCAUCUUUGCAUCAGUGUGCAACACGUGCCAGUACGUGUGCAGCGCCAGCACAUGUGUAUGCCACUCAGCGUGUGUUUAUUUGCAUCUUGGCACACGUGUUGACCUUAAUACGUGUUUGUGACAACAUGUGUGGGCAUAUGUAUGAGCUGGCAUGUGUAUGUGUGUGCCAACACACACGGGGAAGGUCAAUGCAUGUGCAUCCAUUAACAAAUAAGAUUCAUAGAUGUUAGGGUCGGAAGGGACCUCAAUAGAUCAUCAAGUCCGACCCCCUGCAUAGGCAGGAAAGAGUGCUGGGUCUAAAUGACCCCAGCUAGAUACUUGUCUAACCUCCUCUUGAAGACUCCCAGGGUAGGGGAGAGCACCACCUCCCUUGGGAGCCCGUUCCAGACCUUGGCCACUCGAACUGGGAAGAAGUUCUUCCUAAAGAUGAUAUAAGUAAUGCCAAAUACUUGUGUGUCUGUGUGUCCACCCACUUGUGUGCAUGCCCAAGUUCCUGUGCGCCUUAUCACCUGUGUGUCAGUGUUCAUGUGCGUGUGUUUAUGCGUGCACACCUUGACCCUUGUGUGCGACAACACAUAGGUGAUGACAACGAGCCAUCAACUGCAGAGCCAUUUUGACUACAACUUUUUGGAAACGCUCCAGCCCAGGCCGACACCCCAAGAGGAACGUUUCAGCCCAGGUGACAAAGUUUAAACCAACUGAACAAAAACACUAUGAGCACAGAGCACCCCUGACACCCUUAGUAAGAGGUGUGGCUACCCUCCCUACAGCACGUGUACGUGCAUGCACACAAAGAGACACAGGCAUACCCACUAAUUCGGUUUGCUGGACAGCCUCAGGUGGCCCCACUGUUGAUAGAUCACAAGCUAAAGUCUGCAACGUUCAUUUUGUGCAACGCUGAUUGUUUUGCAUCGUCGGGAUCAAGCUGCUGCUGGAUGACACCAUCCUGCCAAGGACACACGGCACUUGGCAGCCUCUGCAUCUUAUCCUCUCUCCUACAACCCCCCUCGCUUUUCUCCCCCAGAUAAAAGGCUGUUUUAAUCCUGUGAGCAAUUAAAGAAUGGCUUCCCCUCC